AAUAAAAGAAUAAAAGAAUGAAAUAAAAAGAAACAAAGAAAAGAAAGAAACAGAGACAUUCGAAACAGAGCAGGAAGAAAAGGGGAAAGAAAAGAAAAAGGAAAAACUAAGAGUUUAAGGUUUACAACUUUGAUUGCCAACAAAGAACCUGAAGCAUUGGCACGAAAAGGGAAGGAGAAAGUUAUAGAAGAGUAAUCGCAAAAUUCGGGUUAGUAAAAGUCAAGUGUCUCGGCUCAGCAUCCAGAGCAUUCCUGACUCCAACACAACUUGGUGAUGUAUUUUUUGUUCUUCUGGGUAAAGGUGGCAUGUACAUAGGUGUUGUGUGAUCACUUGAAUAUGUAUAUUAUUUUGGUUGUGAAGGAUGAAUUAUAAGAUUUAGAUUGUUAAAUGAAAUGGUAGAAAGGUAUAUGAUAUUUUGACACAUGAACAUUAAAUUGUUAAAUGAACGAAGUUUUCAAUCAAUUUUGAAUGAUACUAUGAUAGUUAUUUAAGUUAAAA